rnacentral:miRNA from 1 species
UCUCAGCUGCUGCCCUCUCCAG